UACGGAGGGUGCGAGCGUUGUCCGGAAUCAUUGGGCGUAAAGGGCGCGUAGGUGGCCCGGUCAGUUCGUGGUGAAAGCGCGGGGCUCAACCCUGCGUCGGCCAUGAAUACUGCCGCGGCUGGAGCACUGUAGAGGCAGGCGGAAUUCCGGGUGUAGCGGUGGAAUGCGUAGAGAUCCGGAAGAACACCGGUGGCGAAGGCGGCCUGCUGGGCAGUGCUGACACUGAGGCGCGACAGCGUGGGGAGCAACAGG
rnacentral:rRNA from 1 species